GCACGGGUGAGUAACACGUAUCCAACCUGCCGAUGACUCGGGGAUAGCCUUUCGAAAGAAAGAUUAAUACCCGAUGGCAUAGUUCUUCCGCAUGGUGGAACUAUUAAAGAAUUUCGGUCAUCGAUGGGGAUGCGUUCCAUUAGGUUGUUGGCGGGGUAACGGCCCACCAAGCCUUCGAUGGAUAGGGGUUCUGAGAGGAAGGUCCCCCACAUUGGAACUGAGACACGGUCCAAACUCCUACGGGAGGCAGCAGUGAGGAAUAUUGGUCAAUGGACGAGAGUCUGAACCAGCCAAGUAGCGUGAAGGAUGACUGCCCUAUGGGUUGUAAACUUCUUUUAUACGGGAAUAAAGUGAGGCACGUGUGCCUUUUUGUAUGUACCGUAUGAAUAAGGAUCGGCUAACUCCGUGCCAGCAGCCGCGGUAAUACGGAGGAUCCGAGCGUUAUCCGGAUUUAUUGGGUUUAAAGGGAGCGUAGGCGGACGCUUAAGUCAGUUGUGAAAGUUUGCGGCUCAACCGUAAAAUUGCAGUUGAUACUGGGUGUCUUGAGUACAGUAGAGGCAGGCGGAAUUCGUGGUGUAGCGGUGAAAUGCUUAGAUAUCACGAAGAACUCCGAUUGCGAAGGCAGCUUGCUGGACUGUAACUGACGCUGAUGCUCGAAAGUGUGGGUAUCAAACAGGAUUAGAUACCCUGG
rnacentral:rRNA from 1 species